CCUGACCCUAGAGGCAUUGCAGGUGUGGCUGCUGUGUCACAUGUGUGUCAGGAGGUGACAGAGAAGAGAGACACUAUGUCUAUGCUCAGUGUUCUGACUUACAAACAUCUGAAUGAUUAUUAGUCUAACACU